rnacentral:rRNA from 1 species
UACGUAGGUGGCAAGCGUUGUCCGGAUUUACUGGGCGUAAAGAGCGCGCAGGCGGUCGGUCAAGUCGCGUGUGAAAGCCCCCGGCUCAACUGGGGAGGGUCACGCGAUACUGAUCGACUCGAAGGCAGGAGAGGGUAGUGGAAUUCCCGGUGUAGUGGUGAAAUGCGUAGAUAAUCGGGAGGAACACCAGUGGCGAAGGCGACUACCUGGCCUGUUCUUGACGCUGAGGCGCGAAAGCUAGGGGAGCAACGGGG